AGGUGCCUCGUUGAUCAGAAGGGUUUCCUCCGAUCAACGAGGUACAUCCUCAUUGACCGGAAGGAAACCCUUCCAAUCAAUGAGGUACAU
rnacentral:miRNA from 1 species